rnacentral:rRNA from 1 species
CCUACGGGGGGCAGCAGUGAGGAAUAUUGGUCAAUGGGCGAGAGCCUGAACCAGCCAAGUCGCGUGAGGGAGUACUGCCCUAUGGGUUGUAAACCUCUUUUGUCGGGGAGCAAAAGCCGGACGUGUCCGGCUGUGAGAGUACCCGAAGAAACAGCAUCGGCUAACUCCGUGCCAGCAGCCGCGGUAAUACGGAGGAUGCGAGCGUUAUCCGGAUUUAUUGGGUUUAAAGGGUGCGCAGGCGAAUUUUUAAGUCAGCGGUAAAAUCGUGGGGCUCAACCCCAUCCAGCCGUUGAAACUGGGGAUCUAGAGUGUGCGAGAGGUAGGCGGAAUGCGUGGUGUAGCGGUGAAAUGCAUAGAUAUCACGCAGAACCCCGAUUGCGAAGGCAGCAUACCGGUGCACAACUGACGCUCAGGCACGAAAGCGUGGGUAUCGAACAGGAUUAGAUACCCGAGUAGUC